rnacentral:rRNA from 1 species
GAUGAACGCUAGCGGCAGGCUUAAUACAUGCAAGUCGAGGGGCAGCAGGGUGUAGCAAUACAUCGCUGGCGACCGGCAAACGGGUGCGGAACACGUACGCAACCUUCCUUCAAGCGAGGAAUAGCCCAGGGAAACUUGGAUUAAUACCUCGUAACAUUGUGAAGUGGCAUCACUUUAUAAUUAAAGCUCAGGCGCUUGAAGAUGGGCGUGCGACUGAUUAGGUAGUUGGCGGAGUAACAGCCCACCAAGCCUGCGAUCAGUAACUGGUGUGAGAGCACGACCAGUCACACGGGCACUGAGACACGGGCCCGACUCCUACGGGAGGCAGCAGUAAGGAAUAUUGGUCAAUGGACGCAAGUCUGAACCAGCCAUGCCGCGUGGAGGAUGAAGGUCCUCUGGAUUGUAAACUUUC